AUUGAACGCUGGCGGCAUGCCUUACACAUGCAAGUCGAACGGCAGCACGGGAGCAAUCCUGGUGGCGAGUGGCGAACGGGUGAGUAAAGUAUCGGAACGUGCCCAGUCGUGGGGGAUAACGUAGCGAAAGUUACGCUAAUACCGCAUACGAUCUAUGGAUGAAAGCGGGGGAUCGCAAGACCUCGCGCGAUUGGAGCGGCCGAUAUCAGAUUAGGUAGUUGGUGGGGUAAAGGCCCACCAAGCCGACGAUCUGUAGCUGGUCUGAGAGGACGACCAGCCACACUGGGACUGAGACACGGCCCAGACUCCUACGGGAGGCAGCAGUGGGGAAUUUUGGACAAUGGGCGCAAGCCUGAUCCAGCCAUGCCGCGUGCAGGAUGAAGGCCUUCGGGUUGUAAACUACUUUUGUACGGAACGAAAAGGUUUGGCCUAAUACGCUGAACUCAUGACGGUACCGUAAGAAUAAGCACCGGCUAACUACGUGCCAGCAGCCGCGGUAAAAC
rnacentral:rRNA from 1 species